rnacentral:lncRNA from 1 species
AUGGCCCCCCCCCCGCCACACCAGCUCGCCCUCCCACUGCCCUCCGCCCGAGACCCCGCCGGCAGCACCCAGGCCUCGCCGGAGGACGGCUCAUGGCAGCCCGCCGCGGCCCUGCCGAGGCCCGGCCUGCCCCGCAGCAUGACUGGCGCUUCUCCCGCCGGCGGCGGCCGGGGUGGGGGGAGGCCGGGGCGAGCGGCAGCGCAGCCCGCGGCUCCUCGGCCGCGGCGCGGCGCCUCCGCCCGCCGCCAGCCCCGGCCGAGGGGGGCCCGGGGAGCCGCGAGGGCCGGGCCCGCCAAGGACGCAGGGCCCACCGAGGGGCCCGGCCGGGCCCGCGGGGCCUCCCGCCGCCCCGGCACCCCCUCCCCAGUCCCCGCCUGCGGGCGGCGGCUCCCGCAGGGCGGGGGCGCGCCGGGGGGACGACUACGGGACCGCCACCGGGGGAACGGGGCCGGGGCCGCAGGCGCGGCCUCCCGGCCGACUCGCCCCCCGCCCCGAGGCGCUGAGUCACGGCGCGGUGCCGGGAGGGCCCCGGGCGCCGCCCGCCCGCCCCGCCUGAGGCCCUCCUGCGGGCCGCGGGCCCCGGGCGGGGGUCGGCGGAGCACUGGCGCGCCCUGCCCCCGGCCCGGCCCGGCCCCUCCCCUCCCCGGGGCUCACCGCCAUCUUGGAGGGGGGUCUGCGGAGCCUGCGCAGGAAGGAGCGGGGGGAACGGGCCGAGGUUGUCGCCGCCAUCUUGGAGAGGGGCAGCGCCACGGCGCCUCCCGCCCGCCCUCUCCCGGAAGGACCGCCCCCGCCGCUCCGCGCCUCGACGGUGCGCGCACCGCCUCGCGCCUGCCCCUUCCGCCCCCGGAUUGGCCGCGGUGGGGGAGGAAGGAGCGGCGCGUGAGCGUGAGCGCGCGGCCGUGCCGCGCGGACCCGACAUCCGUCCCCCCGCCCCUUCCUCGCCCCGCCCCGCCCCUCCCGCUGGCGCCCCCUGGCGCCCCCUGGCGGGGCGAAGUAGGUGUCCCGCGCGGACCCCGGGCGGAGCUGACUGGUCGCGCCGCGGGCACCGCCUGCUGGGACCAAUGGGAGCCCCGCCGGCUCGCGGUCCCCGGCCAAUGGGCGGGCGCAGGGCGGGCGGCGAGGAUGACGGGAGGUGAUUGGCCGCUGCCCAGCAGACGGGGAGCGGAUUGGCAAGCGGGCGGGCGUCGUGGCGGCAGGGAAGGGAGGAAGGAGGGAGCUGAUCGGCGGGUGCUGUUAUUGUGGGGCAGGGGAGAGGGAGCUGAUUGGUGA